rnacentral:rRNA from 1 species
GACGAACGCUGGCGGCGUGCUUAACACAUGCAAGUCGAACGGAAAGGCCUGCUUUCCCUUGUGGAUUGCGGGUACUCGAGUGGCGAACGGGUGAGUAACACGUGAGUGAUCUGCCCCCAACUUGGGUAUAAGCCUGGGAAACUGGGUCUAAUUCCCGAUAGGACUGCAGGGUGGUGCCUGUGGUGGAAAACGAUUUUCUAGUGGUUGGGGAUGAGCUCGCGGCCUAUCAGCUUGUUGGUGGGGUAAUGGCCUACCAAGGCGGCGACGGGUAGCCGGCCUGAGAGGGUGGACGGCGACAUUGGGACUGAGAUACGGCCCAGACUCCUACGGGAGGCAGCAGUGGGGAAUAUUGCACAGUGGGCGGAAGCCUGAUGCAGCGACGCCGCGUGGGGGAUGACGGCCUUCGGGUUGUAAACUCCUUUCGACCGCGAGGAAGCCACCUGGUUGGAAGGGUGGUGACGGUAGUGGUAGAAGAAGCACCGGCUAACUACGUG